rnacentral:rRNA from 1 species
GCACAAGCGGUGGAUGAUGUGGAUUAAUUCGAUGCAACGCGAAAACCUUACCUACCCUUGACAUGUCCGGAAUCCCGAAGAGAUUUGGGAGUGCUCGCAAGAGAACCGGAACACAGGUGCUGCAUGGCUGUCGUCAGCUCGUGUCGUGAGAUGUUGGGUUAAGUCCCGCAACGAGCGCAACCCUUGUCAUUAGUCGCCAUCAUUUGGUUGGGCACUCUAAUGAGACUGCCGGUGACAAACCGGAGGAAGGUGGGGAUGACGUCAAGUCCUCAUGGCCCUUAUAGGUGGGGCUACACACGUCAUACAAUGGAUGGUACAAAGGGUCGCCAACCCGCGAGGGGGAGCCAAUCCCAUAAAGCCAUUCGUAGUCCGGAUCGCAGUCUGCAACUCGACUGCGUGAAGUCGGAAUCGCUAGUAAUCGUGGAUCAGAAUGUCACGGUGAAUACGUUCCCGGGUCUU